rnacentral:rRNA from 1 species
GACAGAGGGUGCAAACGUUGUUCGGAAUUACUGGGCGUAAAGCGCGUGUAGGCGGUUGGGCAAGUCGGAUGUGAAAGCCCAGGGCUCAACCCUGGAAGUGCAUUCGAUACUGCCUAGCUAGAGUCCCGGAGAGGAUGGUGGAACUCUCGGUGUAGAGGUGAAAUUCGUAGAUAUCGAGAAGAACACCGGUGGCGAAGGCGGCCAUCUGGACGGUGACUGACGCUGAGACGCGAAAGCGUGGGGAGCAAACAGG